GGAUUGUUAGUUCAUGGUGGUUUUUUGAAUAGAUUAUUCACUUGAAGUUUACUUAACAUGGUUUUUAACGAAAUAGGUUGUUGAUUAUUGAGUAAUACCAAGAAACUGAAAAAUAAAAACUCACAUCAGAUAGGUACUUUUGUUUUUUUGGGGAUAGGUUCACAUCAGACAGGUAAUAUUCGAAUUGUCAAAAUUUAUUUCAGGCUUCCAGCAUAUAUGAUCUUCUUGUUUUUGUUUACCAAAUACAAUAACUAUAAUGUCAAUGGGAAAAUUAAAGAGAAGAAAGUGAUGAAAGCAUGUCUUUUGCAUCUGACCUCUACAUGAAGAGUUGUGAGCUGUCUUACUAUUGCUAUGCACUUAAUGUCUCAGAGUUUCUGUCUGCGGUUCUCCAACUUAAAGUUGCACCAGCAAAACUUGUCUCUGGCAGCGUGCAGUCCAAAAUGGAAGACAAAGAGAAAACUGAUAUUCUUCUUCUCGAAAAUCUCUCUGAGUUCAGAGAGGAACUUGCCAAUUGUUCAAAGUUUGCUGAACUAUUAUCAGCAUGAAUCGAUAUCUUUGUUAAUGAUGCAUUUUCCCAAUCUCAUAGAAUUCAUGCCUCAACUGUUGCUAUUACUCGCUUCUGCUAUGCAUGUGUUGCUGGUUUUCAUUUUGAAGAGGGCCUGUAUCAAGCAAAGAAGGCCAUCAAAACCAACAAAAAACAAUUUAUUGCCAUUAUUGGAGGGGGUAAACUGUUAGAAAAAGCAGCUGCCUUACAUUUUUUAGCUGCUAGAUGUGAUGGUUUGGUGUUUGUUGGAAUGAUGGCAUUUCAAAUAAUGCAUGCCCAAGGAUUGCCUGUUCCUAAGAAGUUGGUAGAAUGCGGAGCAAUUAAAGAAGCUUUAAAUUUAACUCAGUUU